GUGCUUGCCAGAACAGUUUUGAAAUGGUUUGAGGCCUUGCCCUGCUCCAUCCAGAGCAAGGGUAUAGAAAUUUCAGACAAUU
rnacentral:snoRNA from 1 species